rnacentral:rRNA from 1 species
UACGUAGGGGGCAAGCGUUGUCCGGAAUCAUUGGGCGUAAAGAGCGUGUAGGCGGCUCGAUAAGUCUGCUGUGAAAGUCCAGGGCUCAACCCUGGAAGGCCGGUGGAAACUGUCGGGCUAGAGUCCGGAAGAGGCGAGUGGAAUUCCCGGUGUAGCGGUGAAAUGCGCAGAUAUCAGGAAGAACACCCGUGGCGAAGGCGGCUCUCUGGAACGCAACUGACACUGAGACGCGAAAGCGUGGGGAGCAAACAGG